UUGGAGGGCAAGUCUGGUGCCAGCAGCCGCGGUAAUUCCAGCUCCAAUAGCGUAUAUUAAAGUUGUUGCAGUUAAAAAGCUCGUAGUUGAAUUUCGGGAUUAGUACGUCGGUCGUGCCUUAGGUACGUACUGGUGUUACUGGUUCCUACCUUCUGACGAACCAUCAUGUCAUUAAUCUGGUGUGGUGGGGAAUCAGGACUGUUACUUUGAAAAAAUUAGAGUGUUUAAAGCAGGCUCGCGCUUGAAUACAUUAGCAUGGAAUAAUGAAAUAGGACGUUGAUCCUAUUUUGUUGGUUUCUAGGAUUGACGUAAUGAUUAAUAGGGAUAGUUGGGGGCAUUAGUAUUCAAUUGUCAGAGGUGAAAUUCUUGGAUUUAUUGAAGACUAACUACUGCGAAAGCAUUUGCCAAGGAUGUUUUCAUUAAUCAAGAACGAAAGUUAGGGGAUCGAAGACGAUCAGAUACCGUCGUAGUCUUAACCAUAAACUAUGCCGACUAGGGAUCGGAUGAUGUUAUUUUUAAUGACUCAUUCGGCGCCUUACGGGAAAC
rnacentral:rRNA from 1 species